rnacentral:tRNA from 1 species
AUCUAGCUGGCUCAGUUGGUAAAGCAUGCAGCUCUUGAUCACAGGAUCAUGAGUUCAAGCCUCAUGUUGGGUG